GACGAACGCCGGCGGCGUGCCUAAUACAUGCAAGUUGAGCGCUGAAGGUUGGUACUUGUACCAACUGGAUGAGCAGCGAACGGGUGAGUAACGCGUGGGGAAUCUGCCUUUGAGCGGGGGACAACAUUUGGAAACGAAUGCUAAUACCGCAUAAAAACUUUAAACACAAGUUUUAAGUUUGAAAGAUGCAAUUGCAUCACUCAAAGAUGAUCCCGCGUUGUAUUAGCUAGUUGGUGAGGUAAAGGCUCACCAAGGCGAUGAUACAUAGCCGACCUGAGAGGGUGAUCGGCCACAUUGGGACUGAGACACGGCCCAAACUCCUACGGGAGGCAGCAGUAGGGAAUCUCGGCAAUGGACGAAAGUCUGACCGAGCAACGCCGCGUGAGUGAAGAAGGUUUUCGGAUCGUAAAACUCUGUUGGUAGAGAAGAACGUUGGUGAGAGUGGAAAGCUCAUCAAGUGACGGUAACUACCCAGAAAGGGACGGCUAACUACGUG
rnacentral:rRNA from 1 species